UGUAGGUCAGCUCUUUGCUGAUGGUGGUGACGAAGUAGAAGAGGAAGAUGAUCAGCACUAUGAGCGGACUGAUGAGUCUCCACGUGGCCUGCCAGAAGAAGUUGGGCUUGUGACCGAUCAUGAACUUGAUAUCGUCAUUGAAUCUGCAUCAAAUCAGCACACAAAUAUCAACAGGAUACAGCCAUCAUCUCACAGAAGGCAAUGAUCAGCAAAGGAAUGGAUCCAGCGAAGCUGUCGAACAGAGCCAGCCAAUAUUCACCUGAACCCUGAGCGAAGAUAAUGGCCAGACCGAACGAGACGAAACACACCAGACCUGAAAAACACACACAGGCCGAGACCUUCAGUGAAAACCAACAGCAUACGGAUUUGAAACAGUGUGAGGAAUGUCCGAGCUGUGUAAAGUGAAGUCAGCUAGAUGUGUUUGUGUCAGACUUACGUCGGGAGUGAAGAGGAACUUGAUUCCGCUGACAGAGCCUUUGAGCGUCAGUCCUCUGAUCAGGAAGAUGGUCAGGACCAGUGCAGGAAAAAGUGUAAACGUGAUGGAGAUGUACCUUCCCGGUGGUCUCGAUGCCCCUCAGACAGCAAACCCACAGCAGAGUCCAGGCGCAGAACAGACACAAGACGAUCCACCACUGCAGACCUCCAGAUUCCUCGAUCACAGCCGUGGUGUUCAGCGUCUUUCUGUACCAGAAAUAAUCCACCGGAGAACUGCGCUCACAUUCAGACACAAACCCUGUUAACAGAUACAUACGACCAAUGCUCAGGUAACUAAAGAGCCACAUGAAGUAACGUCACAAUGAAUUGACAUGAAUCCUGGUGGUCUGUACCUGUCCGGUUUUCAUUGAUGGGACACUGACUCCAGGGUAAAGGGUCCUGAAACGAGUUGAAGAAGUACCACAUGACCCAGGCGAUGAUGGUGUUAUAGUACAUCCCCACCAUGAAGGACACCAGCAUGGAGGCGAUGCCUGUG